CCAGUUUACUUUCCAGAAGGACUAAAUCAAAAUGCUGGUGCUCGUCAGAGCUAUGGCGAUAAAAUGCUAUCGGAAUAAGCCUUACGGACCCGGGGGCAGUACCCGGCGCCUCCACCACCUUUCUCGGGGGCGAAACAGGAUCGACGUGGGUGUAAAGGGUUGUCUUUCGCUCGGCAUGGUUCCGCCGCCAUCGGGCCAAUUUGAUAAUUGCAAACAGCAAUUACGCCAAGGUUUCCCUCGCUGCGUAACGCAGCGCCGAACCUAAAAUGAAGCCCUUCUCCCAUGGCUGGGAGUAAGGCGGGGUUCGCAGGCACCUGGCAACAGAAGCCUGCACU
rnacentral:tmRNA from 1 species